rnacentral:rRNA from 1 species
UACGUAGGGGGGCUAGCGUUAUCCGGAAUUACUGGGCGUAAAGGGCUCGUAGGUGGCCAACUAAGUCAGACGUGAAAUCCCCAGGCUCAACCUGGGAACUGUGUCUGAUACUGGAUGGCUUGAAUUCGGGAGAGGGAUGCAGAAUUCCAGGUGUAGCGGUGAAAUGCGUAGAUAUCUGAAGGAACAUCAGUGGCGAAAGCGACUUCCUGGACCAAUACUGACGCUCAUGUGCGAAAGCGUGGGGAGCAAACAGG